UACGAAGGGGGCUAGCGUUGCUCGGAAUAACUGGGCGUAAAGGGUGCGUAGGCGGGUCUUUAAGUCAGGGGUGAAAUCCUGGAGCUCAACUCCAGAACUGCCUUUGAUACUGAAGAUCUUGAGUUCGGGAGAGGUGAGUGGAACUGCGAGUGUAGAGGUGAAAUUCGUAGAUAUUCGCAAGAACACCAGUGGCGAAGGCGGCUCACUGGCCCGGUACUGACGCUGAGGUGCGAAAGCGUGGGGAGCAAACAGG
rnacentral:rRNA from 1 species